UACGUAGGGACCAAGCGUUGUUCGGAUUUACUGGGCGUAAAGGGCGCGUAGGCGGUGCGGUAAGUCACUUGUGAAAUCUCUGAGCUUAACUCAGAACGGCCAAGUGAUACUGCAGUACUAGAGUGCAGAAGGGGCAAUCAGAAUUCUUGGUGUAGCGGUGAAAUGCGUAGAUAUCAAGAGGAAUACCGAUGGCGAAGGCAGCCCCCUGGGAUAACACUGACGCUCAUGCACGAAAGCGUGGGGAGCAAACAGG
rnacentral:rRNA from 1 species